GUUAUAUGGUCAAGUGAAGAAGCGCAUACGGUGGAUGCCUUGGCAGUCAGAGGCGAUGAAAGACGUGGUAGCCUGCGAAAAGCUUCGGGGAGUCGGCAAACAGACUUUGAUCCGGAGAUGUCUGAAUGGGGGAACCCAGCCAUCAUAAGAUGGUUAUCUUGUACUGAAUACAUAGGUGCAAGAGGCGAACCAGGGGAACUGAAACAUCUAAGUACCCUGAGGAAAAGAAAUCAACCGAGAUUCCCUUAGUAGUGGCGAGCGAACGGGGACUAGCCCUUAAGUGGCUUUGAGAUUAGCGGAACGCUCUGGAAAGUGCGGCCAUAGUGGGUGAUAGCCCUGUACGCGAAAGUCUCUUAGUCAUGAAAUCGAGUAGGACGGAGCACGAGAAACUUUGUCUGAAUAUGGGGGGACCAUCCUCCAAGGCUAAAUACUACUGACUGACCGAUAGUGAACUAGUACCGUGAGGGAAAGGCGAAAAGAACCCCGGAGAGGGGAGUGAAAUAGAUCCUGAAACCGUAUGCGUACAAGCAGUGGGAGCAGACUUUGUUCUGUGACUGCGUACCUUUUGUAUAAUGGGUCAGCGACUUAUUUUCAGUGGCGAGCUUAACCGAAUAGGGGAGGCGUAGCGAAAGCGAGUCUUAAUAGGGCGUCUAGUCGCUGGGAAUAGACCCGAAACCGGGCGAUCUAUCCAUGGGCAGGUUGAAGGUUAGGUAACACUGACUGGAGGACCGAACCGACUACCGUUGAAAAGUUAGCGGAUGACCUGUGGAUCGGAGUGAAAGGCUAAUCAAGCUCGGAGAUAGCUGGUUCUCCUCGAAAGCUAUUUAGGUAGCGCCUCAUGUAUCACUGUAGGGGGUAGAGCACUGUUUCGGCUAGGGGGUCAUCCCGACUUACCAAACCGAUGCAAACUCCGAAUACCUACAAGUGCCGAGCAUGGGAGACACACGGCGGGUGCUAACGUCCGUCGUGAAAAGGGAAACAACCCAGACCGUCAGCUAAGGUCCCAAAGUUAUGGUUAAGUGGGAAACGAUGUGGGAAGGCUUAGACAGCUAGGAGGUUGGCUUAGAAGCAGCCACCCUUUAAAGAAAGCGUAAUAGCUCACUAGUCGAGUCGGCCUGCGCGGAAGAUGUAACGGGGCUCAAACCAUACACCGAAGCUACGGGUAUCACGUAAGUGAUGCGGUAGAGGAGCGUUCUGUAAGCCUGUGAAGGUGAGUUGAGAAGCUUGCUGGAGGUAUCAGAAGUGCGAAUGCUGACAUGAGUAACGACAAUGGGUGUGAAAAACACCCACGCCGAAAGACCAAGGUUUCCUGCGCAACGUUAAUCGACGCAGGGUUAGUCGGUCCCUAAGGCGAGGCUGAAAAGCGUAGUCGAUGGAAAACAGGUUAAUAUUCCUGUACUUCUGGUUAUUGCGAUGGAGGGACGGAGAAGGCUAGGCCAGCUUGGCGUUGGUUGUCCAAGUUUAAGGUGGUAGGCUGGAAUCUUAGGUAAAUCCGGGAUUCUAAGGCCGAGAGCUGAUGACGAGUUGCCUUUAGGCGACGAAGUGGUUGAUGCCAUGCUUCCAAGAAAAGCUUCUAAGCUUCAGAUAACCAGGAACCGUACCCCAAACCGACACAGGUGGUUGGGUAGAGAAUACCAAGGCGCUUGAGAGAACUCGGGUGAAGGAACUAGGCAAAAUGGCACCGUAACUUCGGGAGAAGGUGCGCCGGUGAGGGUGAAGCACUUGCUGCGUAAGCCCACGCCGGUCGAAGAUACCAGGCCGCUGCGACUGUUUAUUAAAAACACAGCACUCUGCAAACACGAAAGUGGACGUAUAGGGUGUGACGCCUGCCCGGUGCCGGAAGGUUAAUUGAUGGGGUUAGCUAACGCGAAGCUCUUGAUCGAAGCCCCGGUAAACGGCGGCCGUAACUAUAACGGUCCUAAGGUAGCGAAAUUCCUUGUCGGGUAAGUUCCGACCUGCACGAAUGGCGUAACGAUGGCGGCGCUGUCUCCACCCGAGACUCAGUGAAAUUGAAAUCGCUGUGAAGAUGCAGUGUAUCCGCGGCUAGACGGAAAGACCCCGUGAACCUUUACUAUAGCUUUGCACUGGACUUUGAAUUUGCUUGUGUAGGAUAGGUGGGAGGCUUUGAAGCGUGGACGCCAGUUCGCGUGGAGCCAUCCUUGAAAUACCACCCUGGCAACUUUGAGGUUCUAACUCAGGUCCGUUAUCCGGAUCGAGGACAGUGUAUGGUGGGUAGUUUGACUGGGGCGGUCUCCUCCUAAAGAGUAACGGAGGAGUACGAAGGUGCGCUCAGACCGGUCGGAAAUCGGUCGUAGAGUAUAAAGGCAAAAGCGCGCUUGACUGCGAGACAGACACGUCGAGCAGGUACGAAAGUAGGUCUUAGUGAUCCGGUGGUUCUGUAUGGAAGGGCCAUCGCUCAACGGAUAAAAGGUACUCCGGGGAUAACAGGCUGAUACCGCCCAAGAGUUCAUAUCGACGGCGGUGUUUGGCACCUCGAUGUCGGCUCAUCACAUCCUGGGGCUGAAGCCGGUCCCAAGGGUAUGGCUGUUCGCCAUUUAAAGUGGUACGCGAGCUGGGUUUAGAACGUCGUGAGACAGUUCGGUCCCUAUCUGCCGUGGACGUUUGAGAUUUGAGAGGGGCUGCUCCUAGUACGAGAGGACCGGAGUGGACGAACCUCUGGUGUUCCGGUUGUCACGCCAGUGGCAUUGCCGGGUAGCUAUGUUCGGGAAAGAUAACCGCUGAAAGCAUCUAAGCGGGAAACUUGCCUCAAGAUGAGAUCUCACUGGAGCCUUGAGUUCCCUGAAGGGCCGUCGAAGACUACGACGUUGAUAGGUUGGGUGUGUAAGCGCUGUGAGGCGUUGAGCUAACCAAUACUAAUUGCCCGUGAGGCUUGACCAUAUAACACCCAAGCA
rnacentral:rRNA from 1 species